rnacentral:pre_miRNA from 1 species
ACGUGCUGCAUCAGGUGCUUGUGACUGCGCCCUUUCAGAUAAGUCAGGUACCUGAAGUAGCGCGCGGA